rnacentral:rRNA from 1 species
AGUGAACGCUGGCGGUAGGCCUAACACAUGCAAGUCGAACGGCAGCACAGUAAGAGCUUGCUCUUACGGGUGGCGAGUGGCGGACGGGUGAGGAAUACAUCGUAAUCUACUUUUUCGUGGGGGAUAACGUAGGGAAACUUACUCUAAUACCGCAUACGACCUACGGGUGAAAGCAGGGGAUCUUCGGACCUUGCGCGAUUGAAUGAGCCGAUGUCGGAUUAGCUAGUUGGCGGGGUAAAGGCCCACCAAGGCGACGAUCCGUAGCUGGUCUGAGAGGAUGAUCAGCCACACUGGAACUGAGACACGGUCCAGACUCCUACGGGAGGCAGCAGUGGGGAAUAUUGGACAAUGGGCGCAAGCCUGAUCCAGCCAUACCGCGUGGGUGAAGGAGGCCUUCGGGUUGUAAAGCCCUUUUGUUGGGAAAGAAAAGCAGCAGGUUAAUACCCCGCUGUUCUGACGGUACCCAAAGAAUAAGCACCGGCUAACUUCGUG